GGUUAGCUCCAAGUCGUAAACGUCGUAACACAGAAAAUUUGCCAUAGCGGCUAUUAAACUUGAUUUACCCGACCCGGGUGGGCCAUGGAGUAAAUACCCACGUUUCCAGGCCCGGCCCACUCGAUUGUAAAACUCUUUGCCGUCAGCGAAAGCCGUUAAGUCGUUUUUUAUUUGUCUUUUCAGUUCGGGCUCGAGGGCGAGGGUCUCGAAGGUGGACGGGUGACGGAAGGGGACGGAGACCCAACCCGAUUCGAAGGAGCCCGACCCGGUGGUAUUGUUGGUGAAGAGUCUACGCUCUCGCGAGACGCGCUCGAACUCCUCGGCGCGUGCGGUGACGUGGGAUAUAUAGGCAGAGAGGAGCGAGUGGCGGUGGCGCUUCGGGAGGCGGAGUGUGAAGCUGCGCUUCUCCUCAAGUGAGUCCUGCGCGGUCUCAACGUGGUGCGUCCAUGUGACGCGUUGGCCGCGGAAGGCGUCGUGGACGGUGUGAUUCGGGGCGACGGCGAAGGAGAUGCGGUUCGAGGAAGGCGAGCGGGAGAGCGUUAGUCGGCGGCACGCGGCGCCGGGGGCGUGGUUUGCGGCAUUGAGGUAGAGGUGCACGUGGCGGUAGAGGUCGUUGAGGUCGACGCCGCAGUAGCCGUUGAACUCUGGAAUCUCGAAAUAGGAAUAUGGAGAAAGCAGAUCUUGCAGAGAUUCGUAUAAGGAAUGGAGCAAUGAGAGAAGCUGGGAUGGGAGAACGUUUUGGAGCACGGUUCAAGGUUGCAUUGAACUUUAGGUAUAUUCGUUAAAAUUCAAUCAAUUUUUACAAACAUCUUGGUCUUUAAGUUGGUCUUUAAGUUGCACCUGAUUCCCAUAAUUCUACAUGCACACGCGCCAGCUAGCUUUAGUAAAGGUCUUAAAGAGAUAAUUCUCAAGCAGCAAUGAAUCACGGCGGGCGCAUGCAGACACUCGGGGUUUGUUACGGAACAGUAUGGAGUGGAUCUCGUUGAGUUGAAGCUGCUUUUGUUUCUUUCUUGACAAAUCACACUUUAUCUUUUUCCUAUAGUUCUAGUUAUUUGUGCCUUCAGAGGUCAGAAUGUUCUGAUGAAUUAUUAUAACUCAUCAAUCACUCAUGAUGAGUGUCAUGUUGGAGAUGAUUAUAAGGGGAUGAUGACUGUAUUGUAGUGAUGAUUGUCAUGUUUUAUUGCACCGUAACUGUUCAAAUUGAUCAAAUUGGUAGAACGAACCCACUGGAUAAAUUUAUAUUAACUAUAUCUUUUUGCAUGGACCCUUUAGAUAAUAUUUUAUUCAUAAUAUCCUCUUCAGGUUUUUCUUAUUUUUCACCUUUCUACUUAUAUGCUGUGUAGAACAUUAAAGGCCAUGACGUUGUUAGAUUUCAAUCCACAGUUGCACAAAUAUAAAAGUAUCUACUUAUAAAAUGGUUGAAAUUUUGAGAAAGGAAACAUGGAAAGAGAAAAUAAAAGGAGGAGGAAAAGAAAAAGAGGCAUGUGUAUGGUGGCAUUAAAAGCCACGAAUAUGGAGAUGGGCAAAAAUUUCAGUGUAGGUCAGCCUUGAGAGAAAGCCCUGCAUAAAUGGGGGUAUCAAGAAUAAAGUCACAAAGAGGUUCUCCCUGGAAUGUCAAUGAUCAAAUGGAUCAUAUUCCAUCAAUGCACGAGAGGCAUAGCAAUUUCAAUUCAUCAAGAUACUAGUUCAAACUGCAAAGUAGAGCAGUGUUAUGACUAUCAUUCUUACCAAAAAUACAAAAUCAAGUUUCUGGAUGAAUUUCUAUAUUGGUGUAAAAAUGAAUAGAUAAAUCAACUUGUAAAUCUCACCUUUUAUAGAAGUGAAGUUAAGAGGUCUUGUUUAGAAGUUAAAGACAACAGUUAAUUUUUACUUAAGUGAGAAGUUCAGAAACCGACUAUUGGGAUAUCAGAAUAAAGUGGAAAGUGCAGGGAAUGUCAAAUAAUGAAGUGGAUCAUAUUCCAUUAAUGUAUGACACUUUUUCUACAAGAAGGAUUCUUCCAGAAAAUAAUUCAAAACUGUGUA